rnacentral:lncRNA from 1 species
UAGGAUUUGAUUUAGGAUUAGGAUUUGAUUUAGGGUUAGGAUUUGGUUAAGAUUUGAUUUAGGAUUAGGAUUUGGUUAAGAUUUGAUUUAGGAUUUGGGAUUUGAUUUAGGGUUUAGAAUUUGGUUAGGGUUUAAUUUAAGAUUUAAGAUUUGAUUAGGAUUUAGGAUUUAGUUAGGGUUUAGAGUUUGGUUAGGAUUUGAUUUAGGAUUCAGAGUUUGAUUUAGGAUUUAGAAUUUGGUUAGGAUUUGAUUUAGAAUUAAAGAUUUGAUUAGGAUUUGAUUUAGAGUAUAGGAUUUGGUUUAGGAUUUGGUUUAGGAUUUAGGAUUUGAUUUAGGAUUUAAAAUUUGGUUAGUGUUUGAUUUAGGAUUAGGAUUUGAUUUAAUAUUAAGAUUUAGUUAGAAAUUGAUUUAGAAUUUAGGAUUUGAUUAAGAUUUGAUUUAGGAUUUAAGAUUUUAUUAGAGUUUAUUUAGGGUUUAAGAUUUAGUUAGUUUUUGGCCUAAAGUUUGAAUGAAGUCUAAUAGAAUUUAAUUAAGAUUAAAUUAAGAUUGAAUUGAUAUGUAUUU